GAUGAACGCUGGCGGCGUGCCUAAUACAUGCAAGUAGAACGCUGAAGCUUGGUGCUUGCACCGAGCGGAUGAGUUGCGAACGGGUGAGUAACGCGUAGGUAACCUGCCUCUUAGCGGGGGAUAACUAUUGGAAACGAUAGCUAAUACCGCAUAAAAGUCGAUAUCGCAUGAUAUUGAUUUGAAAGGUGCAAAUGCAUCACUAAGAGAUGGACCUGCGUUGUGUUAGCUAGUUGGUGAGGUAACGGCUCACCAAGGCGACGAUACAUAGCCGCCCUGAGAGGGUGCUCGGCCACACUGGGACUGGGACACGGCCCAGACUCCUACGGGAGGCAGCAGUAGGGAAUCUUCGGCAAUGGGGGCAACCCUGACCGAGCAACGCCGCGUGAGUGAAGAAUGUUUUCGGAUCGUAAAGCUCUGUUGUAAGAGAAGAACGAGUGUGAGAGUGGAAAGUUCACACUGUGACGGUAACUGACCAGAAAGGGACGGCUAACUCCGUG
rnacentral:rRNA from 1 species